CCUACGGGCGGCAGCAGUGGGGAAUAUUGGACAAUGGGGGCAACCCUGAUCCAGCCAUGCCGCGUGUGUGAAGAAGGCCCUCGGGUUGUAAAGCACUUUCAGUGAGGAAGAACGCCUGGUGGUUAAUACCCAUCAGGAAAGACAUCACUCACAGAAGAAGCACCGGCUAACUCCGUGCCAGCAGCCGCGGUAAUACGGAGGGUGCGAGCGUUAAUCGGAAUUACUGGGCGUAAAGCGCGCGUAGGUGGCUUGAUAAGCCGGUUGUGAAAGCCCCGGGCUCAACCUGGGAACGGCAUCCGGAACUGUCAAGCUAGAGUGCAGGAGAGGAAGGUAGAAUUCCCGGUGUAGCGGUGAAAUGCGUAGAGAUCGGGAGGAAUACCAGUGGCGAAGGCGGCCUUCUGGACUGACACUGACGCUGAGGUGCGAAAGCGUGGGUAGCAAACAGGAUUAGAUACCCUAGUAGUC
rnacentral:rRNA from 1 species